rnacentral:lncRNA from 1 species
CCCAAGGCCCCACCUCCUCCCUCAGCGCAGCUUUGCAGGCGCUGGGGCUCCCAAAGGACGGAGCUUUGAAUCCACCUGGGAGGCUUAAGAGAAAGUGCUGAGUCCCCCAUGCCCUACCCCUGAGACUGCUGACAGGCAUCGCUGAGGGCUGCAGCUUUGGAAUCGGGCAUCUUCUGAGGAAGAGAAAGGCACCACAGCCACGGCACAGAAGACUAGGGGAGCCAGCUUCAGCUUUUGCCAAGUGUUUGGUUCAUCUGACGCUUGGUGAAGUCACAUGCAUCUGCUGCCCUGACAUCCAGGAGAAGGAACCAUCUGGCUCAAGAAUCCAUUACAGAAGAGGCCGUCAGCACCCGUCACUUGUGCCUCCCCAUGUCCAGCUGAGUUUCUUUCUCUCUGCUCAACUCCAAAGUGUUGAUGAGUCAAUCGAUGCGGCCCUUGCCACUGCGUCUCACUGGGAAUUCCGGUGAGGUGGCCGUCUGCCUGCGUGCGUGCCAGCUAGCUCCUCGAUCAAUGCACACUUCUUUAAAGUGCUGCAGGAUGCUGCUGGAAAGGAUUUGGUCUGGCUCAUUUGGCUGUUGAAAAAGGCCACGCCUGCUUCAAGUUCCUCCAGUACUCGGGGAGACGGGUGUCACUAUGCUGCCCAGGCUGGUCUCUCGUGGCUUCAAGAGAUAUUCCCACCUUGGUCUUCCAGAGCACUGGAAUUGAAGUUCUAGGUGCAAUGUUUUAAGGGGAAGACUUACACUAUGAAGCUAGCCCAGAAGAGGGUGACUAGAGUACUGAGGAGUUUCUACCUGGAAGGGCUGUAAGGAAGACAACUGCUAUGUUGUGAGCGGCUCUAUGGAGAGGCCCAUGUGGAGGGAAGUGAGGAAGGCCUCUGGCCAACAGUCCAGGAGGAAGUGAAGCCCUCAGUCCAACAGCCUGUGUGGAACUGAACCCUGCAAACAACUCUGUGUGUGAGCUUGGAAGUGGAUCCAUAUUCAGUCAAACCUUGAGAUGGGACACCAUGCUCUGCUAACACUUGAUUGUGGUCCCAGCUAGGCCACUGCUGAAGUCUUGACUCAGAGAAACGAUGAUAUAGUAAAUGUUUGUUGUUUCAAGUUGGUAAGUUUUGGGAUAAUUUUUUAUAUAGUGAUAAUUUUUUAUAUACUUUAAAAUAACACAUUGCCCUAUCCUUUGGUUACACUUUUCUCUUGGAACUCUGCUUGCCCAUAUAUUACAGAAAUAUUUUUCAGAUCAUGGGCUGAAAGGUGGAUUAUGGAUGCAAUGUUUAAAUUUAGCAAUGUCAUUUAUGACUGUUCAUAUGAGCUUUGCUGCAUAAAAUGUUGAUAUUAAUUUGUUUCCCUUUAAGACAUUCUUAAUGUUUACCUCUCAGUAUUUUCUUUGUAAUCAAUUAAUGUAAGAUGAAUAUAGUUUGUAGGUUUUACCUUUCUUGAUUCGUAUACAAAACACACAACAUCCAACCAUUGUUAUUUAAAGAUUAUCUAGGAGGAGAUGAUGGAAACUCUGUUUUGGGCCACCUUCUUUACACAUUGGGUCUAUUUCCCCUAACUUGAGUAUAUAUUAAACUAGUGGGGGAUUGAGCUACAAAAAUGCUACUUGGUGAGAAUUUUAUUAAUACAAAUACUCAACUCUGAAGUUACGUUUUUGUGGAAAGUUAUCACUUUGGAAUUUGAAUUUUCUUGGAGCUAAGCCACUGGUAGUUGUAAAAGCUACACCUGUAAAUUUGCUCCCUAGAAGAUACUUUCGUUUAGUGACCACUUGUUUCUCUGUGGAUAAAUUCAAUUAUAAAUUACAAUCGAAUUGACGUUUUCAUAGCAUCCUUCACUCUCCAAGUAUCUCAAGUCCUCUGUGAAUUAUAAAGUAAUUACAGUGCUCAAAGGACAGUUUCAUAAUUGUGUCCAUGAGCACAGACUUUCCUCUAUGUUCGAGAAGGGCUCAUUCCCAGCCGGGAACAUUAAGUUGGAUUUUAUUGAGACUGGGGACUGCUAGUCCAGACAGCUGGGUGAUCCCCUGCGCUAUUUUGAAAAGUAUCCUGGGAUCUUUAAUUUCCACCUGGAUGGUCAGGGAGGUGAGAGAACGGCCCUCACUGGGUGUGACCUUGUAUCCCACUUGGGGUCUUGAACCAGGGGACCCCCAACCCCAGAGGUGAGACAUGCAAUAUGGUCAAUUAUACAACCUCUUAAUUAUUUUUUGCUGAAUCUCAAGUGAGUUCUCAUGGCCUGCUCUCUCCCGGGUGGGUUCAGAAGGUGGCCAAGAAGAAAUGUUAGAAAAUUCCCAGAGAGCCAUUUCAUGAGAAUGUUUUCUUUGGUUUAUACCUGAUACUGUUUUGUUUUUGUUGUUGCUUUUUAAUAACUUUUUUUUCUUUUUGUGGGGUCAUUUGCGUAAUACACAGGUGACGAACACUCAAGGUUAUUUGGUCGCAUGCCACCAAAUAACUUUCCUUUGGCACAUCUGCAGUGAAGGAGUCUUUCUGUCUGUCUCCUUUUGUUCCUCAUCAUCUAUUAGCUUGGCACAGCUGACUGAGCUGUUAAAUGAUUACUGCAUAUUUUGUACCUCACCUUGAGAGGCUUUGGUAUAAAAAGGUGCUAAUUAAGCUGAAGCUUCUGGCCCUCUUGCCUAUGUGGGCCCCAGGAAGCGAAGCAAAAAGACUUUAGGGAGCUGGAGCUUGUGUGUGUGUGUGUGUGUGUGUGUGUGUGUGUGUGUGUGUGUGUGUGUGUGUGUGUUUCGUUUUCAGCAUUUUGAGGAAUUGUUACUGGAACUUAUAAAAUAAUUGUUUUAGACCUUAUAAACACAGCAAAUUCUUCAAACUACGUAUGAGGCUGACUCAAAAAGCCACGUAAAGGUAGCUUGGCGAAUCAACUAACUGCUGACCAGUUUGUGGUGAUCGUAAGUCUAUAUAUGCUGGAUUUGGCGAUCGUAAGUCUAUAUAUGCUGGAUUUGAAUAUUUUCUGUAUUUAAAGAAAAAUAAGUACAUUCUAAGAAUAGUUGUCAUCUCCCUCUGUAGACUUGCCCCGUAGAUAUUUGAAAUGGGGAUUAACAUAUUUAAGAGUAGCAGGAAGUGCUAUUUCAUCAGUGUCUAGAAUGGGAGGCGAAUUCAGUCCCUGCCUGGACUUGUUGACUAGCUCGCUGGGUUGUGAAAACCACGGCAUUCUCCUGGGAAUUUGUUCCAGGGCACUGACUGCAUUUCUUCUGAAGCUAAAGCACUUAGCUUUGCUUCCAUGCCUUUUAAUAUAAUUUGUAGGCUUCAGCAGAUUUCUAAAGUACACCACUUGAUAUCUUUCACAGCUCAAGGUAAAUUCUGCAGCACGAACUUAUAGAAUUUUUUUCUUUUACCUGGGGUGAGAACAUACCUUUUCCUAGUGCUAUUUUUUUUUUCUGGGCUACCUUUCAUCUGUUUACAUGAAUUCCACUUCUUCUCGCUGUGUUAAAGAAAUCCCCUAAGCUGUCUACAUAGGUGUGAAACUUUUGGUUGUGAUUUCCUUGAAGUUAGUUGGAACUGGAACAUUUUUUUCUGUGUCCUGAAUGGCUCACACAUUCCCUAACACAGAAUGGAUACUCAGCGAACAGUUGUUGAAUCAGUGAACGGUAAUGGCUCAGUUCUGUCAGACAAUGGAUUGAAUUAUUUUUACACCUUUAAUUCACUCAUGGACUGAAUUAACCUACUCAUGGGCUGUUUGGGGCAUCAAGUGAUAUUUAUACAUUUCUGAAGAAUGUGGAAUCACCAGGGUUAACAGUGUUUGCAGGUGGCGUUCGAUUGCAGGGGCCCAAGGAACCACGGCUGAAUUCCGCAUGGACAUAGGCCAUUUUCCACCAGCAAAGUUAUGAGAACUUUUUUUGUUUUGGUAACUGAUGUGAAAUUUUCAGUUCCGAAUGACAUCCAGAAACUCUCCUUCUGCAGCAGAUGAAUGUUUUGAGGGAAUUUGAGAGGAGGGUUUGUCUUUUAUCUCUCACCUGCACGAGGACACUUGCAGUCUCUUAAGAGAUGUUCUCUUUUUGAAAUGGUGGAAGGACAGAAGCAUCAGCCAGCCCGUUCAUGCUUGGGGACAGAGAGGGAGCUCAGAGCUUAGGGGAGCACAGGUCACUCUAAUGAAUGACAGCUGUAAUAAUAAAGACAUGCCAUCCAUGCUACUUUUUGCAGAAACCAGAAACAUCCUUGUGAAAGUUAAAGGGAAAAGAAAAACGUGUACUUUGAGGGGGGUGUUAACGGGGGACAGGAGGUGGCGACAUAAAAGACUGGUUUAAUGUGUCUCGUUGUAGCCCCUAAGGCUUUACCUGACCCCAUCACUGUCACAACACCUUCUUCGGGACUGACAGUCUUGGUAAUUGAUGGGUUGGUGGGGGCUUUUUUCUGCAAACACAUUAAGGCAGGAGGGAAUACUCUGGCCCCCACCUCCCCACGCCUGGCACGGGGGACCUGGAGGCGAGCAGACACCAGGCCCGGCGGUGUUGGGGGCAGAAGGGAUCAAUUCUGUCAACCAGACUGCCCAGCUACUGUCAGGCACUGGGACCCUUCACCUGCUCCUUGGAGUCAUUAGAACUCCCAAAUCUCUUUGCAGGCCUUUUCUAUUAGACACAUACUCCCAUGUUUUGAUUUUUUGCUCCCAAAGUCAUUUUUUUAAAUAAUUACCUGCAUCGAACCACACUUACCAUCUGUGGGCUGAGAGCGGGCAAAUGAUUUAUUAGUCUUGGUUUCUAACGGUGCUGAGCAGCUUGGGAUCGAUCUUGCUGGUGACACACUCGGCAGAUGCACCGAUGGGUGGGAGGGUCAAUGUCAGGAUGAAGCUUCUUGCGGAGCUGACAUGCACGUGGGGACCCCAGGUGUGGUGUUUAGUUGGUAGACUGUGACAUUGCAAAAGUGGAGUCUCAAGCCAUGGCGGAUAACAGGCGGCAGAAAAAGCAGUGAGGGAGCUUCUUGGGAUGUUUUACUUUAAGUAGAAAGUAAAACUGUGCAUGAAAAGAGGGGACAGAGUAUGCAACCCAAAUCAUCGCCAAGGCUCUUGGUUUCUUCUGUGCACACUGCCUGCCUUGUAUCCAAGCGUUUGACUGUGCAGAGGCCAGUCAUACUGGGGGACCCUGAGCACUACCCUUGGCAUUUGGGUAUAUCCUGAUCAAUAUAGCCAUUUCCACUGCUUGACAUUAUGUUUUGGGGGCUAGUUUUUUAAAGAUCAAUGAUUGAAUUGCUGCUCGGCUGAUUGGAUAUGUCUUCUCGGAGACUCACCUGUCCUCCCCGAAGAGAUGCUGACUACACAACAGCAGUCACUGUGCUGGGCACACGGGCAGUGUUCAGGAGACGUGGCUUCCUUUCUUCUUCUUUCAUUUCUUCCUGCCCAGAACAGCAAGGCUGAGACUGAUAAUAAAAUUCCUGGAACAUGGAGAAACUCAUGUGGGGAGAAAAGAAGAAAUGUAUUGUGACUUCCAUGGGCUUUUGGCACUUUUGGACCUCCCUCCUCCUCUUUUCCAUAAAAAAUGUAUUUUAAGACAUAUUGGUAUAAAGAUGAGAUUAUUCAUAGUACAUAUUAAAAUGUUUUCCCCUACCUAAAAGUUUGUGGUUUUAUUGUCUUCUUGUUUUUAAAAUAAAUUAAAAUAUUUUCAAAGGCCGUUAGAAGAACCGUGGGCCCUGGGCUUGGUGCCUGCUGUGCCUCAUAAAUCAGGCCUGGAGAAGAGACAUCAGUGACAUUUUAGUGUCAGGUAGAAAAUGUAAAAUAUCAUGAUUGUUUUCCAAUGAUAUACUAAGUAAGACACAUAAGAUGUGUUUUAAUUUUUUUCUUGAUGUAUGCUGUUGUCUUUUAGUUAUAAAUGCUGAGUACUGUUAAAAGAUAAACUGAGGCACAAUAAAAUUUGAAGAGUUUAUUUGAGCAAACAAUGAUUUGUUACCGAAACACCAGGGGUUCAUCUGGGUCCUGCUGCUUGCCACACAGAAAGCCAAUCACUGAG